rnacentral:rRNA from 1 species
CCUACGGGUGGCAGCAGUGAGGAAUAUUGGUCAAUGGGAGAGAGCCUGAACCAGCAAAGCCGCGUGAGGGAAGACGGCCCUAUGGGUUGUAAACUUCUUUUGUCGGAGAAUAAAACCCGGGACGUGUCCCGGACUGCGUGUAUCCGACGAAAAAGCAUCGGCUAACUCCGUGCCAGCAGCCGCGGAAAUACGGAGGAUGAGAGCGUUAUCUGGAUUUAUGGGGUUUAAAGGGGGCGUAGGCGGUCUGUUAAGUCAGCGGGAAAAUUGCGGGGCUCAACCCUGUCGAGCCGUUGAAACUGGGAGACUUGAGUUGGCGAGAGGUAAGCGGAAUGCGCGGUGUAGCGGUGAAAUGCAUAGAUAUCGCGAAGAACUCCGAUGGCGAAGGCAGCGUACCGGCGCCAGACUGACGCUGAGGCACGAAAGCGUGGGGAUCGAACAGGAGUAGAUACCCGUGUAGUC